rnacentral:ribozyme from 1 species
UGUCCAGCAACUCAUAUCCCUACCUCCUCGUGGUACCGGCCGAAAACCUAUGAACAACCUUAGAGAAGAUCGGGUAACCAACCCCGGUGGGAACUUUAGCCAUAGGCUGAAAGGGAGGG